rnacentral:lncRNA from 1 species
UGUGUCGCAGUGUUAUGGUGUAUCUCACACUGAGUAGUCUUGCUGUUUGCAAAGCGACCUGAUCCUUCUGCCUUCAGUCUGCUCUACUGGACCUUUCUGCAGGAGAGAUGUGAUGAUCUCCAAAGAGUUGGCAUAAAAUUAAGAAGCACAAGCAUAGGAAACCCUGAGACCUCCGCAGUGUGCUGUUGAGAAAUGUCUGUUGACUGUGAGGAACCUGGUGAGAGACACCAUUUAGUUUCUAGGUGGUAGAAACCGAAGCCUACUGUUUGUUGAGGAAAGCUGUCUUUGCCACUCCUGCAGAGGUGACGUGUGAUAACAUCUGCAAGGGGACACAAUGUCCAUAUGGGGAUGUUGACAAACAUAGCUUACCGGUAUCCCUGUCUCAAAUGGGCUCAUCUGGAAACAUCAGAGACACUUUGGAAUUGGAGCUUUCUGAAAACUGGGAAUGGGGAAUAAAGGAAUGGAACAUGGAAUACAAAUGGAAGCUCAUUAUCUAGGCAACUUCUUUAGAGACACAAAUGAAAAAGUCCAGAAAGAGCUGGAUGCUGUGCUGGGUUCAUCCCAUCUAAUCUGCUGUGAGGACUGGAAGAAACUGCGUUACACAAAUGCUGUGAUUCAUGAGAUCAUGCACUAUGGCCACCGUGUGUGUCUGGGAGAGGUGCUGGCAAGGAUGGAGCUUUUCAUCAUCUUCUGCAACCUGCUGCAGACAUUCAAGUUCACCCCACCAGAAGGAGUUAAGGAAGUCACCAUGUGGAUUAUCUUCGGGAGCACAAUGAAACCCCAUCCGUAUAAGAUCUGUGCGGUUCUUCUCUAGGUUCCAAUGUAUCACACAUCGGAGGGAGAGGCGUUUCCACAGGCUUCUUGGCUGGGACUCAGAUGGAUACUUUUGUCAUGACUCCCUUAAAUUUGAACCUGGCUCUUGCCGUUGUCAGCAGUCAAGGAUCAGCAGAAGAGAUGCGUAAGCUCAAUGGCCCAAGCAGAUCAAGCUGAUGUGGCUCUCCUGCUUUCUAGUCCAUGUGUAGCUCUGGUAUAUCUGCAUGAUGCUUUAUGGCAUUGAAUUGGUGCAGAUUUUGUUGGGAGUGAAGGGUGGGUUGUACCCUACUGCAAAACAAGGAUUCAUUUUUUCUAC